CACCGCGGUUAUACGAGAGACUCAAGUUGAUAAACUACGGCGUAAAGAGUGGUUAAGAACAUUUUAAAAUAAAGUUGAAUGCUUUCUAAGCUGUCAUACGCACCUGAAAGUAAGAAGCCCAACUACGAAGGUGACUUUACAAAAUUCUGACCCCACGAAAGCUAGGUCA
rnacentral:rRNA from 1 species